GUGCUCACUUUGGCAACACACAUAAUAAGAUUGGAACUAUACAAAGGAGAUUAGCAUGGAGCCUGUGCAAGGAUGACACGCAAAUUCAUGAAGUGUUCUGCAUUUUG
ensembl:snRNA U6 U6 spliceosomal RNA